CUUAUACAACUUUCAGCAACGGAUCUCUUGGCUCUCGCAUCGAUGAAGAACGCAGCGAAAUGCGAUAAGUAAUGUGAAUUGCAGAAUUCAGUGAAUCAUCGAAUCUUUGAACGCACCUUGCGCUCCUUGGUAUUCCGAGGAGCAUGCCUGUUUGAGUGUCAUUAAAUUCU
rnacentral:rRNA from 1 species